rnacentral:rRNA from 1 species
GCUGGGGGAUUAGUAGGCGAACGGGUGAGUAACACGUGAGUAACCUGCCCUUAACUCUGGGAUAAGCCUGGGAAACUGGGUCUAAUACCGGAUAUGACUCCUCAUCGCAUGGUGGGGGGUGGAAAGCUUUAUUGUGGUUUUGGAUGGACUCGCGGCCUAUCAGCUUGUUGGUGAGGUAAUGGCUCACCAAGGCGACGACGGGUAGCCGGCCUGAGAGGGUGACCGGCCACACUGGGACUGAGACACGGCCCAGACUCCUACGGGAGGCAGCAGUGGGGAAUAUUGCACAAUGGGCGAAAGCCUGAUGCAGCGACGCCGCGUGAGGGAUGACGGCCUUCGGGUUGUAAACCUCUUUCAGUAGGGAAGAAGCGAAAGUGACGGUACCUGCAGAAGAAGCGCCGGCUAACUACGUG